rnacentral:lncRNA from 1 species
AAAUAGCUGCAUAUACAGCAAACAGAGACACUCCGAGCCACCCAGGCGUGAGUCAGCUGUCACAGUAGGGGGGCUCAGUCAUGGACCCCAGCUGCAGGGGACAAGCAGGUACUUACCUUAGCAAAUUAUCACAGUAUUUGCUAAAGGCCUGCUCAGAGCGGCAGAGCAAGAUAGAUCUGUUGAACUUUACACCCUGGGCACCUCCAUAGCACAUUGGAAGUCACGUAAGCCAAUCAGCCUCCAAUAACCUACCUGUCAAUUGAGAAUCGUGAUGAUAAUGAUGCCUGCUUCACAGUAUUGUGAUGAUUAAAUGAAAUAAUAUUUGUAAAAAAAAUGUUUGAAAAAGUGUAGAUGCUCUGUUAUUAUUUUCUACCGUCUCACAGAAAUCCCAUUUAGAAUAUCCCUCCACUCGGCAACCUGCCAAGGUGAGUUUGUAGUUUAAGGGUGAUACGGUUUGGCUGUGUCCCUACCCACUUCUCAUCUUGAAUUGUAUUUCCCAUGAUCCCCACAUGUUGUGGGAGGGACUCAGUGGGAGGUAAUUUAAUCAUGGGGGUGGUUACCCUCACGCUCUUCUUGUGAUAGUAAGUGAGUUCUCACAAGAUCUGAUGGGUUUAUAAUGGGCUUUUCCCUGCUUCACUCAGCACUUCUCCCUCAUGACACCAUGUGAAGAAGGAUGUGUUUGCUUUUCCUUCCACCGUGAUUGUAAGUUUCCUGAGGCCUCCUCAGCACUGUGGAACUGUUAUGCCAUAACAAGCAAAGAUUUGUGGAUUUGUGAGACAUAAAAAUGUUUAUGAUGUGCAACUCUAGCCACCAGGAGCCAACAUUCUUUCAGUGGAUAAAAAGGAGUUCCAAUACUUUUUCUUACUAAGGAAAUGGAUUGCAAGGGAUGGUGAAUUAUUAAAAUAUUACCUGCUCUUACUCCUGAGACUAACACCACACAGGACAGAGUAAAGUAGAAGAUGACCUAAGAAAACAUACAGAAGUCUUAACUGGAUUGCUUUUGUUAUGAGAUGUUCACUGAAGUCCUUCUUGUGACUGACAUUCCAAUACUGGAGUUUUACUUGGAGGCAGAUGUACAAGUUUUUCAGAAGCCAUGGGCAACAUGAAUACUACAUGCUUCCCAGAAACACAUGGUGAGCUUGUCAACCCCCUUUUGGUGCCCUCCCUCUCAUUGCCAGCUCCUGCACCUGCAACUCCACCCCACAGCCUUGUGAUGCUGGCUGCUCUCUUGGUCUUGGUCUCGUCAAAGCAUCCCAAGUUUGGCUACUUUCUUCAGCAUCCGCAUAGCCCAGGGGAAGCUCCAUAUCACAGCCAAGGCUACCACGUUCUGCCUCUUCAAUAUCCAUCAGCUUCUCCCUGCUCAGACUACAUGGAGUGGAGGGUGCAGCAGCUGUGCCAGCUGAGCCCUGGUGUAUUUGGCCCAACAAGGAUAAAUCUAGCACCUUCCUCUUUAAGGGGAGGUGGAGGGAUUUAGCUCAAGAAGGAUAAAUCUAGCACCUCCCUCUCAAAGGGGGAAUGGGAGGAUUCACUGCUCCUUCUCUUUUCAAGCACUUAUCAAAUAUAUCUAGACCAGUA